UGGGAACAGUGAUCUCACCUUGACUCACAAAGUGAUAGUCGUAUGGAUUGGUGGUAAUUAGAAGCAUGUCAAUUAGCUCUGGUUUCUUGUUGGACAUAAUUUGAUAAAAUAUGUGGUAGCUUCUUUCUGCCUUCAGCUGAAAAGUGACUCUAGACUUCUCCAAUAGAUAUGUUUCAAUAUCUGCAGAAGCUAGUUUUCCUGUGGCACCAAAGUGAAUUCUGAUGAAUUUCCCAAAGCGUGAGGAGUUGUCAUUCCUCACAGUCUUGGCAUUUCCAAAGGCCUCUAGCAAUGGGUUGGCGCUGAUGAUUUGAUCCUCAAGCGUUCCCUGCAUUUUGCCAGGCUGCUCCUCCUUCUUCUUCUCCCCACUAGCUGCAAUUGUUGCAAAGUACUGGAUGACACGUUUCGUGUUCACAGUCUUCCCUGCACCAGAUUCUCCGGUGAUCAGGAUCGACUGAUUCUCACGGUCAGUCAGCAUGAACUGAUAGGCGUUGUCAGAAAUGGAGAAAAUGUGUGGAGG
rnacentral:lncRNA from 1 species